rnacentral:rRNA from 1 species
AUUGAACGCUGGCGGCAUGCUUUACACAUGCAAGUCGAACGGUAACAGGCCGCAAGGUGCUGACGAGUGGCGAACGGGUGCGUAAUGCAUCGGAACGUGCCCAGUCGUGGGGGAUAACUACUCGAAAGAGUAGCUAAUACCGCAUACGAUCUAUGGAUGAAAGCGGGGGACCGUAAGGCCUCGCGCGAUUUGAGCGGCCGAUGUCAGAUUAGUUAGUUGGUGGGGUAAAGGCUCACCAAGCCAACGAUCUGUAGCUGGUCUGAGAGGACGACCAGCCACACUGGGACUGAGACACGGCCCAGACUCCUACGGGAGGCAGCAGUGGGGAAUUUUGGACAAUGGGCGCAAGCCUGAUCCAGCAAUGCCGCGUGCAGGAAGAAGGCCUUCGGGUUGUAAACUGCUUUUGUACGGAACGAAACGGCUCUGGUUAAUACCCGGGGCUAAUGACGGUACCGUAAGAAUAAGCACCGGCUGACUACGUG